GGAUUAAUAGGCUACUGAAGGCCCAAUUAGCCCAAAUUGUGACAGCUGGAGCAUGAGGCAGGCUUUCAGGGAAGGGCUUCAAAAGAAAACCUCUGGUGGGGAGAGAGAGAGAGAGAGAGAGAGAGUGUGUGUGUGUGUGCAGGAGCUCUCAUUCUGGAUCAUAAGGUUGGCUAGGGCUGGGGAAGACUAACGCCGACCAGAAUUCCCAGAGGAAAGGGGAGAGUUUGUUUUAUGUUGCUUCAUGCUUCUUUUGGCCUUUGAGUGCCCUACAAGAGAAGAACUGUAAGUGACCUAGCUGGAGGGCUAAGUCACUGUAACCUAGAAGUAGUGGUGGCUGGUGAGCUUUGGGGCAGGUGGGGACUCAAACUACUGUUUCAAGUGGCAGUAGUGGCACCAAAAGUGGCAGAGACUGUUGGAUGCGGCAGAUCCAAGGGUUUGGGUCUGUGGUCACCUAUGCAGAUUGAAAGUAUGCUGACCAUAAGUGGUUGUUCACUGCAGUGCUGUGACUGUUGAGGACAUUUCUGGAGGUUCCUGAUUCAUUAUAUAAAAACAAAUGCAGAAACCACCUUGACAAGAGAGCUGUUCCCCAUUGCAUUUUACUAAGAUUCUACAAUAAGAUGAUCAAUAAAGAAAUCCUGUCUUAGUGAGACAAUAAUGAGAUGCAUCUUUAGGGGAAACCUAAAUAACUAAUUUUUCUGCAACAAAGAGAAAUGUGAUGAAGACAUUAACAAUCACUUUGGGGGAGAGAGACUACAGCAGGUGGAUCAUUUUGUAUCUGGGGUUGAAAUGUUUUCCUUAUGAAUGAACAUAGCAGAUGCUGGAUUUCUCAUAUUAAAGGUUGUCAUUCAAAAUUUUGUACCAUGGCUGCAGUCUCAAAAGUUAUUUAAUUCAGCGGGGCCACACAUGAUAGUUUAAAAAUGAGUUUGUAAUGGAUGCUUUUUAUCAGGGUCCUAAGUUUUCUGAAGUUCUUCAGCCAUAUAAUUUAAUACAGACUGUACUCUCUCCCCUACAGAAUUGUGCUCUAGAAUCCACCUCCUAAGCUUUCAUUUUUUAAAAAAAAAAUUCUCUCCUUUAUGGUAGCAAAGAAAAUCACUCCACUCCUUCUCUCUACAAAUGGUUUGUGUGUCUUAACUCAGAGAUGCUUGGAAGGUGCUACUAAACCACUGAGUAGCACAGAAUGAAAGAAUCAUAGAAUUGUAGGGCUGGAAGGGAUCUCGAGAAGUCAUCAAGUCCAACCCAUUGUACUAAGGUAGAACCAAGUAAACCUAUACCAUCCCUGACAAGUGUUUGUCCAGCCUGUUCUUAAAAACUUCAAAUGAUGGGGAUUCCACAACUUCCCUGGGAACCCUAAUCCAGAGUUUUACUAUUCUUACAGUUAAAGUUUUUUCCUGAUGUCUAACCUAAAUCUCCCUUGCUGCAGAUUAAGCCCAUUACUUCUUGCCCUACCUUCAGUGGACAGGGAGAACAACUCAUCACCAACCUCUUUAUAACA